rnacentral:tRNA from 1 species
GCCGAGGAGGCCGUGGUGACCUACGGCGCACCGUUCGGGCUGGUGCCCGAGGUGCGCGAGUCGGGGCCGGCCGGUGAUCUCCACGUCGCCGUGGCG